UACGUAGGGGGCGAGCGUUUGUCCGGAUUUAUUGGGCGUAAAGAGCGUGUAGGCGGCCAGGUAGGUCUGCUGUGAAAACUCGAGGCUCAACCUCGAGAUGUCGGCGGAAACCAUCUGGCUAGAGUCCGGAAGAGGAGAGUGGAAUUCCUGGUGUAGCGGUGAAAUGCGCAGAUAUCAGGAAGAACACCCGUGGCGAAGGCGGCUCUCUGGGACGGUACUGACGCUGAGACGCGAAAGCGUGGGGAGCGAACAGG
rnacentral:rRNA from 1 species